rnacentral:pre_miRNA from 1 species
AUGAGAUGGAAUCAGCGUUUGGAUAUGCGAUUUCAUGUUGAUUACAUCUCAUGA